CCAGACUCCUACGGGAGGCAGCAGUGAGGAAUAUUGGUCAAUGGGCGCGAGCCUGAACCAGCCAAGUCGCGUGUGGGAUGAAGGAUCUAUGGUUCGUAAACCUCUUUUAUAAGGGAAUAAAGUGCGGGACGCGUCCCGCUUCGCAUGUACCUUAUGAAUAAGGAUCGGCUAACUCCGUGCCAGCAGCCGCGGUAAUACGGAGGAUCCGAGCGUUAUCCGGAUUUAUUGGGUUUAAAGGGUGCGUAGGCGGCUUUUUAAGUCAGGGGUGAAAGUCUGUGGCUCAACCUGAGAUUUGCUGUUGAAACGGGGGGGCUUGAGUAUGUUGGAGGCGGGGGGAA
rnacentral:rRNA from 1 species